UACGGAGGGUGCGAGCGUUGUCCGGAAUCAUUGGGCGUAAAGGGCGCGUAGGUGGCCUGUGCAAGCGUGCGGUGAAAGCUCGGGGCUCAACUCCGGGUCGGCCGUGCGAACUGCUGGGCUCGAGCACUGUAGAGGCAGGCGGAAUUCCGGGUGUAGCGGUGGAAUGCGUAGAGAUCCGGAAGAACACCGGUGGCGAAGGCGGCCUGCUGGGCAGUGGCUGACACUGAGGCGCGACAGCGUGGGGAGCAAACAGG
rnacentral:rRNA from 2 species